GUUAAACUUAUUAAAUAUUCGACCGAAUAUCAGCUUUCUUCCCGACGUGAUGUACGCAUGCUUGCUGAGAUACUGAAGCGACGUUAAUCCUGUAACGAUUACAUCGUCAUGAAUGAAUUCUAAUCGAUGAGAUAAAAUAGAUAUAAACAUACCACGAAGACUCUGACUGUCGAGCAGUUCAAAUCGCGCCGUUUGACGGGAGAAUAUCCGGGGAGCGUUUUCCACCGAUGGACCAGCACUAGUUUGACGAGAUCCGCGCGAAUCUACCUGUUUACCUUGAUUGAGAAUUCCGUCUCCACCUUGUCACGAUCUAGCUCUCUGCACAAGUGCUUCAAGACGUCUGGCGCGAG